rnacentral:rRNA from 1 species
AAUUUUGGACAACGGGCGCAAGCCUGAUCCAGCCAUGCCGCGUGAUUGAAGAAGGCCUUCGGGGUGUAAAGCCCUUUCGGACGGAAAGAAAUCGCGCAGCCUAAUACCCUUCGCGGAUGUCGGUACCGUCAUAAGAAGCACCGGCUAACUACUCGCCGGCAGCCGCGGUAAUACGUAGGGUGCGGGCGUUAAUCUGAAUUACUGGGAGUAAAGAGUGCGCAGGCGGUUGAUUAAGACAGUCGUGAAAACCCCGGGCUUAACAUGGGAGCUGCGCUUGUGGCUGGUCAGCUAGAGUACGGCAGAGGGGGGUGGAAUUACACGUGUAGCAGUGAAAAGAGUAGAGAUGUGGAGGAGCACCGAUGGCGAAGGAAGCGCCCUGGGCCGAUACUGACGCUCAUGCACGAAAGAGUGGGUAGCAAACAGG